GGUUAAGUUAGAAAGGGCGCACGGUGGAUGCCUUGGCACUAGGAGCCGAUGAAGGACGGGACGAACACCGAUAUGCUUCGGGGAGCUGUAAGCAAGCUUUGAUCCGGAGAUUU
rnacentral:rRNA from 2 species